AAACCUCACAAUAGUCAAUUAAGAGAGAGAGAGAGAGAACAACCAUCGACGGUGAAGGCUUAUUUGACGGAACGGCGGUGGUCGGUGGUGAUGUUCUCAGAUGUGACGGCUAGGGUUCUGGUUACCCUAGACGCGGUGACUCAAACUUUAACAAGGUUUUGGGCACAUCAAAGUCGGCUCGAGGGUUUUCCGCUGGUCUCCAUUUGUUUUCAGCAAAGAUUGUCAGAACACGAAUCUUAGAAGUGAACCAAACUCUUUUUAAGAUCGAUCUAUUGUUGCAUGUCAUUAUUUGACUCAGAUACCCCAGUAGUGGAAGUAACGUCGUUCACGUUAAUUGGAGACUUAUUGAAGUAAACUGGUAACCCAAUGCUCCCUGGAAACCUGGUAAGUUUUUGCGGUGAUGGUGGGAUUGAUCGAUGAGAAAAACGGUGAUGGAAGUCGGCGUUUGACGACUUGCAAAGAGGGUAUCACUUUUGGCAGUAGUAAUCAGUUUUCAUGUCAUCUCUUGGGGCGAUAUUCAUUAGCAAUUGGUGGUGUUCGAUGGUUGUUUAGGGCAGUGAUAGGUAAACUCGGUACUAGAGAAAUUGAUUGAAGUGGUUUCUGAACCAUGGCGGUGAUUUUUGUGGGUGGUCGUUUGUUGUUUGGUUUCGGUGCAAAACCAAUUGUGUCCCUGGUAUUGCAGUUGUAACAAAAUCGGUUCUGUGGGGAUGAUUUUCGGUUAAAGUUUCGACAUGUCCUUUGUUGAUCGAUGUCACCUCUUCAUUGCAACCUCUGGUAUGAAGUCAUGGUGAAGUCGGCGUAGAGGUGGGCUCAUACUCCAGCAGCGGCACAUGAAUUCCGGUUAACUCCGGUGAGAACCCAGUGUACAGUUGUUGUGGUUCUACCAUCCAACCACUUGAAUGCGGCAAACGCCGGAGGCGGUUUGAAGUUCUGGUAGCAAUUCAAGACUCCAAUGUGUAGCAAGAUCACCACUUUUACAAUUUCAAGAUUCAUCAGUUUGGCCGCAAAAAAGGGUUUAUAUAAUUGAGGGAGAUCUAGGUAGCUUCUGACUAAAGAUCUCAAAAAUUGGGUAGCAAUAGUGUCGACAAUGGACAUGCAAUGGCUUCUUAUUUAGUGGAAAAUUUAUACUUAUGGUAUCCUAAAGAAGCUUACUUUUGUUAAAAUCUGCAGAUUUUGUUGAUAAAUGGACAGGUACAAUCUGCAAAAUGUAUCUAGACAAACAGAGUGAUCACCGGUUAUGCAUUGACAAAGCGAAGUGAAGACUAUUCUUUGUGGUCUACAUCACACAUAGUUCCAGUGUUCUUCAUUUUUAGGCGGUGGAUUUGGGAUUUAUAUAAUGCAAAGGUGGAAAUGAUGCAUACAAGAAAGGAUAGUGGAAUAAAGAGGUAACAUGUUAUACUGAAGCUAACAAGUUGGAUAAAUCAAUGCUCCUUUCUACUUCAACGGAGCAACUACCAACACAGAAUUAGGAUGGGAGACUAAAGUUGGUAAGUUUCAUUGCCAUCAAAAAGUGCCAAGGAAGAUUUGAAGACACCGGUAGCGAGACGACAUCGAUGGAAGAGAUGGUCAAGGUGGGCCAUAGCAAUAGCAUAGUAAUAACCGACUGAACCCUUAUGAGAUGCUAAGAAAGGUGGCAGAGCAGUUCAAGGGGAGGGCAACUUAUUAUUUAAAAGAAGGGGCUUCACUUAUGACGGUGCUGACACCAUCGACAAAUCCAAAAUAUGUUACUACAUUCUUUCACUUCUAAUAUAUGGUAACAGUAAUCAAGAUUAAGCCUAGCUAAACAAAUUCGGUCAGAUAACAUGUCAAAACGGGUCGUUUUAACUUUUAAGAAGUAUUUAUUUACUUUUGAGUCAAAAUCUUUUCCACAGCUUGGGUUGAGACGUGUUGAUUUAGGGAAAAGGCUAUCAAAAUGGGUUUGUUUGUAUGACGGUGUUGAG
rnacentral:lncRNA from 1 species